rnacentral:rRNA from 1 species
AUUGAACGCUGGCGGCAGGCCUAACACAUGCAAGUCGAGCGGAUGAAGGGAGCUUGCUCCUGGAUUCAGCGGCGGACGGGUGAGUAAUGCCUAGGAAUCUGCCUGGUAGUGGGGGAUAACGUCCGGAAACGGGCGCUAGUACCGCAUACGUCCUGAGGGAGAAAGUGGGGGAUCUUCGGACCUCACGCUAUCAGCUGAGCCUAGGUCGGAUUAGCUAGUUGGUGGGGUAAAGGCCUACCAAGGCGACGAUCCGUAACUGGUCUGAGAGGAUGAUCAGUCACACUGGAACUGAGACACGGUCCAGACUCCUACGGGAGGCAGCAGUGGGGAAUAUUGGACAAUGGGCGAAAGCCUGAUCCAGCCAUGCCGCGUGUGUGAAGAAGGUCUUCGGAUUGUAAAGCACUUUAAGUUGGGAGGAAGGGCAGUAAGUUAAUACCUUGCUGUUUUGACGUUACCAACAGAAUAAGCACCGGCUAACUUCGUG